rnacentral:lncRNA from 10 species
AGACCCACACUGUGGAAGAUACUUACAAGACUGGGUUAUAUUUCUGGAAGAGCAAAUUCAUCUCUUGUCUCUCCAGAAGACUGACUUAUUCCCCCACAUUUAUCCCAGACAAGAAAAUGACUCAGUAUUUCAUUCAAGCUAAAUUUGAGCAGAACUAAGUUCCUUUUCAGGAACCCUCCCCAGCUUCUCUGAUGAGCACUUGUCAUGUUUGGAGAAACUGCCCACCUGAAGCAAAUAAAAACUUACAACACUGGACAUCUUUGAUGCAGCCCCAGAUAAAUGUUGUGCUGGGAUUUCUUGGAGAGCAGGUAUCCUGGGAGUAUACAGCAGCCUUGUCUCCAAGGAAAGACAUGCAGGAAGCACUGAGAGGUUAGUUGUUAAGGGUCUGGGCUCAGAUUUAGGCUCCUCCAGCUCAGAGAUGACAGAGCCGUG